rnacentral:rRNA from 3 species
CAUCCUCCAAGGCUAAAUACUCCUGACUGACCGAUAGUGAACCAGUACCGUGAGGGAAAGGCGAAAAGAACCCCGGCGAGGGGAGUGAAAAAGAACCUGAAACCGUGUACGUACAAGCAGUGGGAGCACCCUUUGGGGUGUGACUGCGUACCUUUUGUAUAAUGGGUCAGCGACUUAUAUUCUGUAGCAAGGUUAACCGUAUAGGGGAGCCGUAGGGAAACCGAGUCUUAACCGGGCGUUAAGUUGCAGGGUAUAGACCCGAAACCCGGUGAUCUAGCCAUGGGCAGGUUGAAGGUUGGGUAACACUAACUGGAGGACCGAACCGACUAAUGUUGAAAAAUUAGCGGAUGACCUGUGGCU